rnacentral:lncRNA from 1 species
UUAAAACCAUUUUCACCAAAAACCAAACUAUGAACACCAAGAACAAAACCAUGAACACUUUUUCAAGAUUUGUGUAUUCUUGGUGAUUUUUCAAACCCAAAAACAAAAGUGACAAGGUUUCUUCUUUCUAGCUUUAAAAGGAUGUGAGAGUGGUUUACAAUAAAACACAAACACAACCCCAAAACCACCCCCAAAACCGUGCCAUCCCUUUGGUUCAAAACCCCAAAUUUUGUUCAUGACUUAUUCUUCAUUCAUGCAUCUAAAACACCCUUUUACAUGCAUAUCUUUUUCAACUCUUGAUUUAUAUUUUUCAACCAUUGAAAAAACAAAAGAUAAACAUACUUUAAAUGAAGAAAUAAUAUGUCAAACUAGUUCUAAACUCAUUUUUCAUUCAUGCAUACAAAACAUCUUUUGCAUCCAUACCUUUCUCAACUAUUGACUAACAUUUUUCAACUAUUGAAAAACAAAAGAUAAACAUACUUUGAAUGAAACAAUAAUAUGUCAUACAUAACAUUAAUACCCAUAUGCAUAAAAUCCAAAAGGACACAUUAUACAUAAACCUUUGGCUCUGAUACCACUUGAAGGGAAAACUAUGAGAUUCAUGUAUGGGAUUUCUAAAUGACUAUCAUGCAUAUACAAAACAAUUU